rnacentral:rRNA from 1 species
CCUACGGGGGGCAGCAGUGGGGAAUAUUGCACAAUGGGCGGAAGCCUGAUCCAGCGACGCCGCGUGAGUGAAGAAGGAUUUCGGUAUGUAAAGCUCUAUCAGCAGGGAAGAAAAUGACGGUACUUGACUAAGAAGCCCCGGCUAACUACGUGCCAGCAGCCGCGGUAAUACGUAGGGGGCAAGCGUUAUCCGGAUUUACUGGGGGUAAAGGGAGCGUAGGCGGUUCAGCAAGUCUGAUGUGAAAGGUCAGGGCCCAAACCCGGGACUGCUUUGGAAACUGGGGAACUGGAGUACAGGAGAGGGGAGUGGAAUUCCUAGUGUAGCGGUGAAAUGCGUAGAUAUUAGGAGGAACACCAGUGGCGAAGGCGGCUCACUGGACUGUAACUGACGCUGAGGCUCGAAAGCGUGGGGAGCAAACAGGAUUAGAUACCCGUGUAGUC